rnacentral:rRNA from 1 species
UAUACCGUGAAACUGCGAAUGGCUCAUUAAAUCAGUUAUCGUUUAUUUGAUAGUACCUUACUACUUGGAUACCUGUGGUAAUUCUAGAGCUAAUACAUGCUAAAAACCCCGACUUCGGAAGGGGUGUAUUUAUUAGAUAAAAAACCAAUGCCCUUCGGGGCUCCUUGGUGAUUCAUAAUAACUUCUCAGAUCGCAUGGCCUUGCGCCGGCGACGGUUCAUUCAAAUUUCUGCCCUAUCAACUUUCGAUGGUAAGGUAUUGGCUUACCAUGGUGGCAACGGGUAACGGGGAAUUAGGGUUCGAUUCCGGAGAGUUAGCCUGAGAAACGGCUAACACAUCCAAGGAAGGCAGCAGGCGCGCAAAUUACCCAAUCCCGAUACGGGGAGGUAGUGACAAUAAAUACUGAUACAGGGCUCUUUUGGGUCUUGUAAUUGGAAUGAGUACAAUUUAAACCUCUUAACGAGGAACAAUUGGAGGGCAAGUCUGGUGCCAGCAGCCGCGGUAAUUCCAGCUCCAAUAGCGUAUAUUAAAGUUGUUGCAGUUAAAAAGCUCGUAGUUGAACCUUUGGCCUGGCUGGCAGGUCCGCCUCACCGCGUGCACUUGUCCGGCCGGGCCUUUUCUUCUGGAGAACCACAUGCCCUUCACUGGGUGUGUUGGGGACCAGGACUUUUACUUUGAAAAAAUUAGAGUGUUCAAAGCAGGCCUUUGCUCGAAUAUUACAGCAUGGAAUAAUAGAAUAGGACGUGCGGUUCUAUUUUGUUGGUUUCUAGGACCGCCGUAAUGAUUAAUAGGGACAGUCGGGGGCAUCAGUAUUCAAUUGUCAGAGGUGAAAUUCUUGGAUUUAUUGAAGACUAACUACUGCGAAAGCAUUUGCCAAGGAUGUUUUCAUUAAUCAGUGAACGAAAGUUAGGGGAUCGAAGACGAUCAGAUACCGUCGUAGUCUUAACCAUAAACUAUGCCGACUAGGGAUCGGGCGGUGUUACUAUUUUGACUCGCUCGGCACCUUACGAGAAAUCAAAGUGUU